AUAAAAACAUGUGCACGAAGGACAGUAAGACGACUAGAAUAUCACAGAUAGAAAUUUAAGGCUAUUAAUUAAAUCUAACACAUUUUAACUAUACAUGACAAUACAAUAUACAAAUAGGCUAUAGAUUGCCAACAACUGAAUGUUAUGAAUGGACA